ensembl:lncRNA
CUUUCCUAGUUUCGAGGAAUGGGGGCUUCUCUCCAUCGUGGUGCUCAGGCUUCUCACGGUGGAGACUUCUCUUGUGGAGUACAGUCUAGUAGUCAUGUACGGAUGUGAGAGUUGGAGAACCAUAAAGAACGCUGAGUGCCAAAGAAUUGAUGCAUUUGAGUUGUGGUGCUGCAGAAGAUUCUUCAGAGUCUCUUGGACUCCAAGGAGAUCAAACUAGUCAAUCCUAAAGGAAAUCAACUCUGAAUAUUCAUUAGAAGGAUCAAUGCUGAAGCUGAAGCUCCAAUACUGUGGCCACCUGAUGCAAAGAGCAUGCUGGGAAAGAUUGACAGCAAAAUGAGAAGGGGGCGGCAGAGGAUGCAAUGGUUAGAUAGCAUCACCCACUCAAUGGAAAUGCAUUAAAGCAAAUUCCAGGAGAUGGUGGAGGACAGAGAAGCCUGGUGUGCUGCAGUCCGUGGGAUCACAAAGUGUCAAACACAACUUAGUGACUGAACAACCACAGAGUGCUGCUCGAUUUGAGGAGAAGGGAACUAUACUUCUGCUUUAUGUGUUUGUGUUUAUGUACACAACAGUGUGGCCAAGGAAGAACUCGUAUGUGUGAUCUGUGGUCCUAGUACUUUGACAGAAUAUUUUCCCUGAGCCAGUUAUGUUGUGUUCAAAGCUAUAACCUGAGCUCUUAGGGGAGGGGAGAAAAAGCAGGGUCAACACAAAAGUGGAGAUGCAGGCACGGACGGGAAAGAAAGGAAUGGAUGCCUGAGUGAGUGGGUGAGUCAGUGCUGGAUAGUGGUCAAUGCUAUGCCAAGAACUGGAAUAAAGCGAGAGGGUGACGGCUGGGCUGGCAAAGGUCGCUGUCUCAUGGGUUCCGUGUUGACUUGAACGUGGAACAAAGGCUCCGUGGAGACAAGGUCUGUGCCCCCUCCCACCCCACCAACAAGGAGAACUGACCGUGUUCUUCCUGCCGUGGACUCGGUCGUCCGGGUGGGCUUUGCCUAGACAGCCAGCAGUGGCCUGGGGUCCUCCUUCCCCAUCUCCCCUUGUCCCCCCCGCCGCCCCAGGCUGGACCCCUCUGUGCUAGAACAAUGACCCGUAUGAGCCCCAGUGACAGAAGCCCCACUGGCUUCAUUGGGUUUGUUCUUAUCAGUGACGGAACCCAGACAAUGAACAACCUCCUUCAAUGACAACUCUUGCCGCGAGGCUUGGGAAAUGCUGACUAGGACGGGACUGUGGCUUUUUUUAACCGCAGGUGCGGUGCUCAUUCCUGCUGAGCCGCCCGGGGCCUGUGUGCAGCGACCCACAGGCUGUCCCCUCCCAGCACCGCCCCCCAGUUCCCCUCACCGAGGUUAUGGAGGGAGCCUGUAUUAAAUAGGAAACCUAAACAACAGCAAAAGGAAACCAAGCGUGAUGGGAGCCGGUCCCUCGUGGCUGGUAAUUCCUGCAAAGUCCCGGUUCUCAUCUGGAGCCCAGGACUUCAUCUCCCUGCACCCCUUGCUGGGGGGCAGGGAAAAGAGGAGCAGAGAUCCCCCCUCGACCCAGAAACUGGACCCCCCACAACCUUACCUUGCAGGCCCCCACCUUUGCUUGUUGAUCGGGGUGCCUGAUCAUUAACCCGAAUACAAGGAUGACCAAUUCCCUAAAAGCCUCUGAUGGUCCCGCCGGGACUCCUCCGCGUCCUGGUGCCGCCCCUCCUUCCCGGACUGGGGCUCAGGAGCCAUCACCGCCCCUCCCCCCUGCUCUCCCC